UACAGAGGUCUCAAGCGUUGUUCGGAUUCAUUGGGCGUAAAGGGUGCGUAGGCGGCGCGGUAAGUCGGGUGUGAAAUCUCGGAGCUUAACUCCGAAACUGCAUUCGAUACUGCCGUGCUCGAGGACUGCAGAGGGCAGUGGAAUUGCCGGUGUAGUGGUGAAAUGCGUAGAGAUCGGCAGGAACACCCAGGGGGAAACCAGCUGCCUGGGCAAGCGCUGACGCUGAGGUGCGAGAGCGUGGGGAGCGAACCGG
rnacentral:rRNA from 1 species